rnacentral:lncRNA from 1 species
UUAUAGUUUGAUUGUUUUCAUCACCACCUCCACCACUUCCACCCCUCAUUAUCAUCUCUGGUCCCCACUCCUUCCUACAUAUUGGUUCUCAUCCUCCCAGCAGAUUUCUUCUCAGCUCAGUCUGUGUGUCCUCAAGCAGGCCUUUCUCCCACUUUAGAUGAGGUCAAAUGACUUGUUGCAUACUCUCUUAUGAACCUGUUUUUCUCCUUCUAAGCACAUAACACAACUGUAAUCAAGUAACUAUGCUAUUUGUUGUUCAAUGUUUGUUUGCCCCAACAGAAUGAAAAUUAUAUGAGAAAGACCUUAUUCAUCCCCUUUGCUGCAUUAGCAGGAAAAAAAAAAACCUGUUGAAUGAGCACAUUCCAUGUGGUGUGUGGAGGCAGCAAGGUGUGGAGCUGCUAGGAGCAGACUGAUAAGCCCUCCCUAGGGGCUCAGUACAGGAAGGUGGAAGAAGAUGGAAGUGGACUAGAGUAUGCUGGGGGAUUCACUUUCCUACCCUCUCACAGUUAGGUGAGGUGGCCUCGUGAUUAUCGAUGGACAACGAGUCUUUCUGCCUCCUGUUCUUGAAUGAAGAACUACGUUUCUUGUGGAUUAGAUUCAGUUAUGCCAAUUUGCUGGCGUAUGUAUGCAGGACUGGUGCAUGAAGAAGCCAGGAUUUGAAGCUCUUCGCUGACUCCAGACACACCCUCUCCAAUCCUUCUGCCCACACAGUGGUGUCUCUCAGUGCAGGACAGGUUCUUCUAUUAUGCUACAAGUGUAUCAUCACUAGGUCAACUUUGGAUGCCCCUCAACUGAAGAAUGGAAGAAUGUGGUACAUUUUCACAAUGAAGUACUACGCAGAAAAAAAAAAAAAAACAAAAAAAAAUGGCAUCUUGAAAUUGGCAGGCAAAUGGAUGGAACUAGAAGAAACCAUCCUGAGCAAGCUGAUGGAAGUAGAAGCAGACACCCACAGCUAAACACUGAAUUGAACUGGAACCCAGUUGCAGAGAAGGAGGAGUGAUGAACAAAGGGGUCAAGACCAGGCUGGUGAAACCCACAGAAACAGCUGACUUGAACAAUUGGGAACUCUUGGUUCCCAUACUGAUAGCUGGGAAACCAGCAUGGAACUGAUGCAGACCCCAUGAAUGUGGGUGUCAGUGAGGAGGCCUCAGAAAUCUAUGGGGCCUCUUGUAGUAGAUGAGUACUUAUCCAUAGUGUAGGAAUGGACUUUGGGAGCCCAUUCCACGUAGAGGGAUACUUCUGCAUCCUAGACACAUCGGGGAGGGCCUAGGCCCUAUCCCAAAGGAUAUGAUAGACUCUGAACUGGCCCCCCAAAGGCCUUACCUUCCCUGGGGAGCAAAAAUGAUAUGGGAUAGGUAGGGUGUUAGUGAGGGGCA